CAACAUAAAAUCGUAAAAAUCCACCAAGUCAAAUGCUUUACUCCAUAGUGGAUGUCACCCUCACAAUUAUUGCAAAUGAGGAAAUGGGACCCUUGACACAAUUGACCACUCCCAAAGAAAAUCUUAAUACAAUAAACACAGAAAUCAACAGAAGGUGCGCCACCUCCUCAAGACAAGAACCAUGAACAGGAACCAUGACCAUCUACAUAAAAAACAAUGAUAAGCAGAAAUGGAACCAACAGAUCCACCUUCAGCAUAUACAGACUGUGCUCAGGGGAAGAACACAAAAACACCCAUCAAACAUCUGGAAUUCAUUUCUCAGAGCAUCACUCGGCUGCUAAACCAGAAACCCACCAUAUUCAUCCUCCAAAACAGAACACGGCCCGAAAAGCACCCAACAA